rnacentral:tRNA from 1 species
GCGGGAAUAGCUCAGCGGUAGAGCGCCACCUUGCCAAGGUGGAAGUCGCGGGUUCGAUCCCCGUUUCCCGCUCCA